rnacentral:rRNA from 1 species
GGUUGAUCCUGCCAGUAGUCAUAUGCUUGUUUCAAAGAUUAAGCCAUGCAAGUCUAAGUAUAAGCUAAUUAUACGGCGAAACUGCGAAUAGCUCAUUAUAACAGUUAUAAUUUACACGGUGAUCAUUACUAAAUGGAUAUCCAUGGUAAUUCUGGAGCUAAUACAUGCGAAAAAUCCUGACUUUUCGGAAAGGAUGCAUUCAUUGGCUUUUUGAACCAAUAUAAGGUGAUCACAAUGAAUUUGCGGAUCUCGAUUUUCGAGACAGUCCGUUCAAGUUUCUGACCUAUCAGCUU